rnacentral:rRNA from 1 species
UACAGAGGGGGCAAGCGUUGUUCGGAAUUACUGGGCGUAAAGGGCGCGUAGGCGGCCUUCUAAGUCAGACGUGAAAUCCCUCGGCUCAACCGGGGAACUGCGUCUGAGACUGGAAGGCUUGAAUCCGGGAGAGGGAUGUGGAAUUCCAGGUGUAGCGGUGAAAUGCGUAGAUAUCAGGAGGAACACCGAUGGCGAAGGCAGGUCUCUGGGCCACUACUGACGCUGAGAAGCGAAAGCAUGGGGAGCGAACAGG